CAUUCCGCGCGAAGCCCCUGAGCGGAACCACCACCGCAGAGGCCGAAGUUCCGGGCCGACCCAGCGCGCAGGCGCGAGUGACGACACUGCCCCGCCCGCGGCCCCGCAGCGAGCAUGCGCACAACAAGCGCCACUGUCACACAGCGCCCCACCUCCCUACGCCGGUGCCGCCUGUUCCCCUGCGGACAGCUCCACAGGAAGGUACCUUUCUACACAAAUGACUUGUAAAGACAUAAGCAAGCUCUCAUUCUCGGUCAAGUGAAGAUACAGCAAGAAGUUGUCAAUCUGCAUCCCAGAAGAGUCCCCCCAGAAACUCACCAUGCUGGCACCUUGCUGUCAGAGUCCUAGCCUCCAGUUCUGUAAGAAAUAAAUAUCUGUUGUUUAUAAGAUAAUGAGUCCACAGUACUCGGCCAGCCCAAACUGACUAAGAUGUGCAGCGAACCCAAGCCAACGAACCCUCUGCAAAUGGGAAACAGAGGCCAGUGUGGCUAAUGGAUGAUCUUCUCUACCCCUAUUCUCACUCUACCCCAGGUCCUUGGGCUACAAAUGAUUUUUCCUUCUCUGGACUUCAGGGGUCAACACAACUUUCCAUAAUUGGCCGGACUGUAAAUAUUUAGACUUUCCAAGCCUUGUGAUGUCUGUCACAGCUACUCAACUCUGCCAUUGCAUCAUAAAAGCAGCUACUGGCAAGAAGCAAAGGAACCGAUAUAUAGUAAAGGUGACCAGCCGCUAAGAAGGUGGAGGUGGACAUGGUGACUGACAUUCCUGGAGGAUUUCCCACUUGGCCAGAACUUUCUCAAGUCUGGGUCAGAAUCUAUUCCUGGGGCAGGAGGCAUCAAGAGAACUUCUGGGAGGGCAAAUUAGGGGUUGGGGGGAGAUAGAGACACCUUGGGCUUAAACCUAUAAAAGUAUUUUUACUUGUAUUUCAAUGAACUUAUCUGGUUCAGCUUUUUGAGGUGAAAUAUAAAUGUACUUUAAUAAAUUCUAAUGACAGUUCUUAGAACAGUUGAAUCAGAUGACAACAAACAUCUACUUUUGGAAAAGAAAAUCUUAUAGUGUAAAUCUGUGGAAACCAACAUUAUGUUGUGUAUUAACAUUUACUAAAUUCUGUAUAUAAACAAAAAUACACAAUUAAUUUGAAGUUAUUGAAAGUGCCUGGGAAAAAUAAAUGUAUGAUAGACAAGCAGCAAUGCUGUUGUAUGAAUUUUUUUUUCCCACAUCUAAAAUAUUAACUUCCACAAGGGGGCAUCAGUCGAUAUCUUAUUCUCAGAAAAAAAUGGAAGCCCAAUUUUGAAAUAACAGGCUCUUGUUACAUUUUAUGUUUAUGUCAUUACACCAAAUAUUUCUAUGUAAUUCACAUAGUAUACUUUGAAAGAUUACCCUCAUCUUUACUGUCUCCCUCCAAAAUAACAGUUUAGGUUACGGAAAGGUACAGUUUCUAGUUGAUAUUAAAACACAACACAACAAAAGAAAAAUCCUUUCUCUCAAGUUUAAAUCCAGUAUUGUUCAAUUUUUUAAAUUAAUGUUAAAAAUGCAUUUUAGAAAUGUAAAUUCAUGUUAUCAUUAUUUUUAAAAUUUUCUUAAAUAUUAAAUUUUGCAAGAUUGCUUUGCUUUAAUUGAUAAAACAGAAGGGCCUGGACUUCUCCCUUUUUAUGAGAACAAAUCUAAGAGGAGGAGGAGGCUUCAGCAGCACUUGAGAGUUACUGCUAAAUUCAUAGGUGUCUCAAAUUUGGCAGAUUCUCCAAAAUAUCCUUUGUUGCUCUUUGGAAAUGAUCAAUGAAUCUUUUCUAGCUUAAUCCUAGCAUGAACAUUCUAGUCAUACAUACACACAUAAACACAUCUAUACAUAGACAUGCACGUAUAUUAUAUAUGUGUGUGCAAAAACACAUAUGUACACACACACACACAUAUCUGUGCUUAAGGCGAUUUAUAUACAUUUAUAUACUUGUCUCCUUCACCCUUCAUCUGUCACACUGGGUCCACCCCUCGCUAUAUACAAAGAGUGAGAGGAGAAGUAGCAGGAAAAUCUGCUUCCCAUCUGGGAUGACAGGAUCAAAUUGGCUCCUUCUGGAAAAUGCAAAGAGAACCUUUCAUACUUUUGUAUGGUUUUCCAUAGUGUUCUCUCUGUGCACAGAAGUGCUUAGCAAUAAAAGUCAUACUUACUGACACAAUAUAAUUAUUGUACUGGGCGCAUUUUAUUUUAUCUUAAUAAUCCAAGGACAUAGUUAUUACCAGUACU